UCGGAUAUGGUGUAGUGGCUAACAUUAUCGCCUCUCAUAGGAGUGCGCGAUAGCCCGGGGUUCAAUUCCCCGUAUCCGAA